rnacentral:rRNA from 1 species
GACGAACGCUGGCGGCGUGCUUAACACAUGCAAGUCGAACGGAAAGGCCCUGCUUGCAAGGUACUCGAGUGGCGAACGGGUGAGUAACACGUGGGUGAUCUGCCCUGCACUUCGGGAUAAGCCUGGGAAACUGGGUCUAAUACCGGAUAGGAGCCAUUUUUAGUGUGAUGGUUGGAAAGUUUUUUCGGUGUAGGAUGAGCUCGCGGCCUAUCAGCUUGUUGGUGGGGUAAUGGCCUACCAAGGCGGCGACGGGUAGCCGGCCUGAGAGGGUGGACGGCCACAUUGGGACUGAGAUACGGCCCAGACUCCUACGGGAGGCAGCAGUGGGGAAUAUUGCACAAUGGGCGCAAGCCCGAUGCAGCGACGCCGCGUGGGGGAUGACGGCCUUCGGGUUGUAAACUCCUUUCGCUAGGGACGAAGCUUUUUGUGACGGUACCUAGAGAAGAAGCACCGGCUAACUACGUG